GACGAACGCUGGCGGCGUGCUUAACACAUGCAAGUCGAACGGAAAGGCCUCUUUCGGGGGGUACUCGAGUGGCGAACGGGUGAGUAACACGUGAGUAACCUGCCCUUGACUUUGGGAUAACUUCAGGAAACUGGGGCUAAUACCGGAUAGGAGCUCCUGCUGCAUGGUGGGGGUUGGAAAGUUUCGGCGGUUGGGGAUGGACGCGCGGCUUAUCAGCUUGUUGGUGGGGUAGUGGCUUACCAAGGCUUUGACGGGUAGCCGGCCUGAGAGGGUGACCGGCCACAUUGGGACUGAGAUACGGCCCAGACUCCUACGGGAGGCAGCUGUGGGGAAUAUUGCACAAUGGGUGGAAGCCUGAUGCAGCAACGCCGUGUGCGGGAUGACGGUCUUCGUGUUGUAAACCGCUUUCGCUCAUGACGAAGCUUUGUGUGACGGUAGUGGGUAAAGAAGCACCGGCUAACUACGUG
rnacentral:rRNA from 1 species